UGUAAAGCACAGGCCCCAGAGUGGCAUCAGCCGAGGGGUGAGGGAGCUGGGGUAGUUAUACAACCCCAUUCCCUGGUGUUUCUAACGUGGCAAAGUAGCCUUGGGGAUCAAGUCCUCAGGCCUGGAUGCAGACACUGGUGGCAGCUACAAGGACACAGGAACACACUAACUGGUUCAGCCCAAUGGAAAGGGGUGUGCGCAUAGACGGAUUCCACCUCUCAUGACAGCAGCCGUCUUCGGUCAUAACCACCAUGUUUGCCCGGAGGAUCCUUAGCUGGUUCCUGCAGCCUGGUUUCCCAGAAAACUAUAAGUGGACAAAACAUUAGAGGGAAUUCAACUGAGUCCCCAGUAAAUGGCACUCUGCGACCCUGGAUGUAUCUGAAUCUUCAUUCUCAUGGCAUCUUGGGCCCUGGUCGUCACCUCCUGGGAUCAAGUUUUUCUGGAACAGGGGAGCACAAUGACAGUCUUCAUACACUUUUUUUUUUAAUCACUAAAGUAAUAAAUGCAUAUAAUAAAAGUUGAGGCACCCAAAAAUGAA